UUCUCUCCUUUGUCAUCUUUUUCACUUGGAACUGUUGAAAAUGUUCGACAGGAUUUCAGUAGAUAGCCAGCAGGGCUCUAAGCCAGAACCUCGUCGCUGGGAAUAAUAAGAGCCUGAAACGAGUGAGCAGCCCCCCCGCUGGCCCGUUAACAAUGUCCUACUUGGGACUCAGUGAGCACAUCGACUUCGAGUCGCUUCCCAAUCCGGGAGGCCGCAUCCGUUUGGACGAAGUAAUCGGCGAGGGAACCUAUGGCGAAGUCUUCCGAGCUUUCGAUCUCGAAAUGGGUCAAACGGUGGCCGUCAAGGUGAUGGAGCAAAUUGCGGAUAAUAUCGAAGAAAUUGAGGAAGAAUUUAUGGUACUGCGAGACUUGUGCCUCCAUCCCAACAUUCCGGCAUUUCACGGUCUCUACCUCAAAAAGCAUGCUACAAAGAGGGAGGAAGAUCAGCUCUGGUUCGUCAUGGAGCUGUGCAGCGGCGGUUCCGUCACCGACCUGGUUCACGGGCUGAAGCGCUACAAUCGCCGGCUGACUGAAGAGCAAAUCGCCUACAUUCUUCGUGAAACCAUCGAAGGUUUAGUCUAUCUCCAUAGAAACCACUGCAUGCAUCGAGACAUCAAAGGCCAUAAUAUUCUAUUAACAGAAGAGGCUGGCGUCAAACUUAUCGAUUACGGCGUCUCGUCUCAUACCAGCGCUACCAUGGAUCGUAAAAACACUUCGGUUGGAACGCCCUACUGGAUGGCUCCAGAGGUGAUUGCCUGCGAACAACAGCUGGAAUAUUCUUACGAUAUGCGCUGCGAUAUCUGGUCUGUGGGUAUUACUGCCAUCGAACUGGCUGAUGGAGACCCACCGUUGUCUGAACUUCAUCCGAUGAGAGCUCUCUUCCAGAUUCCUCGAAACCCUCCGCCGACCCUGAAUAAACCGGGAGAUUGGAGCGCUGCUUUCAACGACUUUGUCGCCCUUUGUUUGGUGAAAGAUUUUGAACAGCGGCCAUUCGCCCGCGCUCUGCUCGAUCAUCCGUUCAUUCAACAAGUGCCACCAAAGCCCGAUUCGAUUCGAUACCCGUUAAUGAAAGAAGUCAGUCGACAAAUUGCGGCCAAAAAUAAGAGAAGAGCUCCCGAAAUGACGACCAAGCAAGGAAAACUGAAAGCUGACCGCAAGGCUAAAUUGCAACGCAUCUACCUAGACGAUUUGGCAUCUUUGGAAAAUUUUUCUAUUGAUAGUAUAGUGGACCAGUUGGAACAGCGCUAUAACAACAGUGUCAUUUACACUUACAUUGGUGAUAUUCUAGUUGCCGUUAACCCAUUUACGGAAUUAAGCAUUUAUAGCGACAGGGAGGUUUUCAUGUACAGGAAUCGAGCACGAUCGGACAAUCCUCCUCACGUAUUUGCUAUGGCUGACGCUGCUUAUCACGCAAUGCUGCAUCAACGGCGGUCACAGUGUAUCGUCAUUAGUGGCGAAAGUGGAGCAGGUAAAACGGUGACGGCCAAUUAUCUCCUUAAACAACUAGUCACCUUGGGCAAGGCUCCUAACCGUGAUCUCGAGGAAAAGAUUCUGAUGAUGAAUCCCAUCAUGGAAGCGUUCGGUAACGCCAGAACUGGCAUCAACGAUAAUUCUUCCCGUUUUGGGAAAUACCUGGACGUUACAUUCACAUCGGCCGGUAUGGUUUCGGGUGCCCGGUUGUCGGUGUAUCUUUUGGAGCAUUCCCGAGUCGUCCAGCAAGCAGCCAACGAGAAGAACUUUCAUAUUUUCUACUACUUGUGUGACGGACUGGCUGCUGAUAACAAACUAGCAGAUUACUUCCUCGACAGUGGAAGGAGAACACAUCGUUACGUCACUCUUCCUCCUCUCACAUCCCUGGAGCGACAGAUAUACGCGGAAAAGUUCCAGUCGGUCCGUAAAGGAUUCGAUCAAUUGGGUUUCGCUAGCGAUGAACUGGAUGCAAUCUAUUCGGUCAUGGCCGCCGUGAUUCACAUUGGUGAUUUGGAUUUGGUUCCAGCCGGUCCGGGAACUGACAACACGGAUCGCUGCAAAAUCGCCAAUCUCCCUCAAGCGAAUAUUGUCGCUAAAUUACUCGGAGUUGAACCGCAGGCGGUGAUUGAAGCUCUGACGUCAGUGAGCGUCGUGACUCGCGGCGAAACCAUCACCCGCCACAACGAUCUGGACGCGGCUUGCGCAACUCGAGAGGCCAUGGCUAAAGGGCUUUACGCACGACUGUUUGACUGGGUCGUUCAACAAAUCAACCGUCACUUAUCCUUCGGGCGCCUGGUCUAUGGGGAGCCGUUAUCCGUUGGCCUGUUGGAUAUUUUUGGCUUCGAAAAUCAUUUGGGUCCUGGAGGCCGCAACUCCUUCGAGCAACUUUGCAUCAACAUUGCCAACGAGCAGAUCCAAUAUUUCUUCAACCAGCACGUCUUCACUUGGGAACAACAGGAAUAUAUGGCUGAAGGGAUCAAUGUCGACGUGGUCGAAUAUACCGAUAACCGUCCAGUUUUGGACAUGUUUUUGGCUAAACCACUAGGGUUACUUGCACUGCUGGAUGAGGAAAGCCGAUUCCCUGGAGCUUCUGACAAUUCUCUUAUUGAAAAGUUCCAGAAAAACAUAAGAUCAGACUAUUACAUUCGCCAUAAAUCCAAUGGCCUGGAUUUCACGGUUCAACACUACGCCGGCCGUGUCAGUUACGACGCCACGUCCUUCUUGGAAAAGAAUCGCAAUUUCUUGCCGCACGAAGUGGUCCAGCUAUUACGCAGCAGCAGUAAUCCCACCGUCCAAUUCCUAUUCAACUGCCCUCUCACCAAGACGGGCAAUCUCUACUCAAAAUCGCCAUUCGGAUCGCCUUCAGCCGGACGCAGAAUUCUCACUCCGGAACUGCGCGGGAAUAAGAAAACUGACGGCAAGACGGUCGUGUUCAAUAGCAACGCCACUCCCGGCACCAUACUGCCCAAGGACCUUGCUUCACAGACGAGGGCUCAACAGACCGUGAGCACCUACUUCCGUCACUCGCUGAUGGAACUUUUACAGAAGAUGAUUGGCGGCUCUUCGGCGGGUUUUGAUUCGGGAUCGAAUCGAUCCACCGCUGUCAUUGGGGAACCUCAUUUUAUCCGAUGCAUCAAACCCAACGAUUCGCGCCGGGCAGGCUACGUCGACCGGACCAAGAUAGCCCAACAACUCCGCUACACUGGAGUCCUAGAAACCGUUCGCAUCCGCAAACAGGGCUUUUCUCAUCGACUCAAUUUCGUUGAUUUCCUGAGAAGAUAUUGCUUUUUGGCGUUUAAUUUCGAGGAGCGUGUAGUGGCCGAUCGCGAAACGUGCCAGAAGUUGCUGGUCCGUCUCAAGCUGGAUGGUUGGGCCGUGGGAAAAACCAAAGUUUUCCUCAAGUACUACCACGUUGAGUAUCUGUCCAAAAUCUAUGACCAGCAACUCCGGCGCAUUAUCCAGGUUCAGGCAUGCGUUCGACGCUGGUUGGCCAAACUCAGGCUCGCCCGGCACAACAAAAAAAUUGGUGUGAAGACUCCAUUCACUGAAGCCGAGGACAUUAAAGUUUCGCAAUCGAAAAAACAAAUUGAAACGAUUGAUCCGGAUGACGCAGCCCUCGUCAUUCAAAAAUCAUAUCGUGGAUACAAGGUGCGAUGCAAGUACGGUGAUGAACUGAUGGAACGUUUCCAGGAGAAUUCCACACUUCAGCGCAAGUACGGCCGCCCGCAAUAUCCGCAAGAUCCCACCCAAGAGGUACUGUCGAGUCCGUCGGCCGCUACGCUCGACGAGAAGACUAAAAAUUCCAUCCGUCGUCGUCGACAAGAGAUGGUGGCAUUCGCAGCUCAGCAUUUCGUCCAGUCAACUGGUUCAUCCACCAGCCAACUACGUCCGUCCCAAUGGCUUCAAAAUUAUGCCGGCCAUGUUGGCUCAACAACUGUUGCUUCAAACCCCUUACAAGUCAAGCAACCCAGAGGCCAAAAUUAUCGUUUAUCCUGCGGGCAAUAAUCAACCCAGCGACGGAGAGGAAUCUGACGAUAGCGCGUCUUGGGAUUCUCCGCUCACGCGGGCAAUCCGAGGCAAAAAUGACAGAGAUAAAAAGAUCGACGUCAAUGAAGAAAUUCGUAACCAACUGGGAGAGGGCGGCCUGGUAUCACA
rnacentral:misc_RNA from 1 species